rnacentral:rRNA from 1 species
UACAGAGGUCCCAAGCGUUGUUCGGAUUCACUGGGCGUAAAGGGUGCGUAGGUGGCGGGGUAAGUCGGAUGUGAAAUCUCGAAGCUCAACUUCGAAACUGCAUUGGAAACUACCUUGCUUGAGGGUUGGAGGGGGGACUGGAAUACUUGGUGUAGCAGUGAAAUGCGUAGAUAUCAAGUGGAACACCAGUGGCGAAGGCGAGUCCCUGGACAACUCCUGACACUGAGGCACGAAAGCUAGGGGAGCAAACAGG